GAUGAACGCUGGCGGCGUGCCUAAUACAUGCAAGUCGAGCGAACAGACGAGGAGCUUGCUCCUCUGACGUUAGCGGCGGACGGGUGAGUAACACGUGGAUAACCUACCUAUAAGACUGGGUAAACUUGGGAAACCGGAGCUAAUACCGGAUAAUAUAUUGAACCGCAUGGUUCAAUAGUUAAAGAAGGUUUUGCUGUCACUUAUAGAUGGAUCCGCGCCGCAUUAGCUAGUUGGUAAGGUAACGGCUUACCAAGGCAACGAUGCGUAGCCGACCUGAGAGGGUGAUCGGCCACACUGGAACUGAGACACGGUCCAGACUCCUACGGGAGGCAGCAGUAGGGAAUCUUCCGCAAUGGGCGAAAGCUUGACGGAGCAACGCCGCGUGAGUGAUGAAGGUCUUCGGAUCGUAAAACUCUGUUAUUAGGGAAGAACAAAUGUGUAAGUAACUAUGCACGUCUUGACGGUACCUAAUCAGAAAGCCACGGCUAACUACGUG
rnacentral:rRNA from 1 species